GAAAUGCGAUAAGUAAUGUGAAUUGCAGAAUUCAGUGAAUCAUCGAAUCUUUGAACGCACAUUGCGUCUUCUGAUAUUUCGAAAGACAUGUCUGUUCGAGCGUCAUUACUGUUCUCAAGCGCGACUUGUGUGUUGGGCUCUCGUCUCUUCGAGAGCGAGCUCGAAAGACAGUGACGGCGCCGUGCUCGAUUCUCGAGCGUAUGGGGCUCUGUCACCCGCUCUGAAGGCCCGGCCGGCCGCCGCCGAUCUCACAGACCUCAACCAUCGGUUGAUCUCGAAUCAGGCAGGGAUACCCGCUGAACUUAA
rnacentral:misc_RNA from 1 species